UUUCAGCAGAGAGGCGCAUGCUCUGACUUAGGUUUUUAAGGGUCUUCCUGCAAUGAAAAAAAAAAAAGCCCUCUUUAAGGAAGUGAUUUAUUUAACUGAAAGCUUCUGGCUCAGGACUAUGUUUUCUCGUUUGUUUUGUUUUUGCCAAAUUGGUUUAAUAACAGCAGUGUCUAGGUACAGUUUGUUCUGAAGCAACAAUUAUGUUAAUUUGUAAUGCAGAAUGAAAAACCAUGCUGGGGAAGAAAGGGAUCUUUCUGAUACUUUUUUCUAUUCUCAUUACAGUGUGAAAUUUCCACUUGGAUGGAGUACUUUGGGUUACACGAUUAAGUUUCUUCAUUUAUUCAAAAACGUAUUUGCUAUAGAUGAAUGUUCCCAGCCAGACAAUCGCCAAGAGCCCAGCUGUAGAACCAGCCGAAAGGUCCAUCAUCGGAUGAAUGGAUAAACCCGAUGUGGCCCAUCCGUACAAUGGGGUAUUACUCAGCCAUAAAAAGGAAUGAAGUCCUGUUACGCCACGGCGUGGAUGAGCCUUGAAAAUAUCAUGCUAAGUGAAAGGAGCAGAAGGUCAGGCAAAGGAAAUUUGGAUACACACAGUGGCCUCAUGGAUGUGAAUGUGGAGGGUCGACCACGUGAGGACACAGGGAGAAGGUGGCCACCUGCCAGCAGAGGAGGGAGGCCUCAGAGGGAACCAGUGGACUUGACCUUGGACUUCCAGUCUCCAGGACUGUCUUUGCAAAUAUUGAUAAGACUGCUACAGACAUCUGAGUGCAGGCUUUUGUGUGAACAUAAGUUUUCAAUACCUCUGGGUAAAUACCAAGAAGCAUGAUUGCUGGAUCGUAUGGUAAGAUAGUUUUUGUACGAUAGUUUUGUAUGAUAUGUUUAGUUUUGUCAGAAAUCGCUAAACUGUCUUCCAGAGUGGCUGGACCAUUUUGCAUUCCCACCAGCAGUGAGUGAGAGCCCUGUUUGCUCCACAGCCUCGCCAGCAUUCGGUGUUGUCAGUGUUUGGGUUUUUUAAGAUGUUAUUUAUU